UUCUGGUUGAUCCUGCCGGACCUGACUGCUAUCGGAUUGAUACUAAGCCAUGCUAGUCUUUGUAGUAAUACAAGGCAUACGGCUCAGUAACGCGUAGUCAACCUACCCUAUGGACGGGGAUAAUCUCGGGAAACUGAGCAUAAUACCCGGUAGACCACUUCUCCUGGAAUGGUUAGUGGUUAAAAUGAUUCGUCGCCAUAGGAUGGGACUGCGGCCUAUCAGCUUGUUGGUGAGGUAAUGGCCCACCAAGGCGAUUACAGGUACGGGCUCUGAGAGGAGAAGCCCGGAGAUGGGUACUGAGACAAGGACCCAGGCCCUAUGGGGCGCAGCAGGCGAGAAAACUUUGCAAUGUGCGAAAGCACGACAAGGUUAAUCCGAGUGAUUUCUGCUAAAGGAAUCUUUUGUUAGUUCUAAAAAUACUAGUGAAUAAGGGGUGGGCAAGUUCUGGUGUCAGCCGCCGCGGUAAAACCAGCACCUCAAGUGGUCAGGAGGAUUAUUGGGCCUAAAGCAUCCGUAGCCUGUUCUAUAAGUUUGCGGUUAAAUCUAUACGCUCAACGUAUAGGCUGCCGUAAAUACUGUAGAACUAGGGAGUGGGAGAGGUAGACGGUACUCGGUAGGAAGGGGUAAAAUCCUUUGAUCUAUCGAUGACCACCUGUGGCGAAGGCGGUCUACCAGAACACGUUCGACGGUGAGGGAUGAAAGCUGGGGGAGCAAACCGGAUUAGAUACCCGGGUAGUCCCAGCUGUAAACGAUGCAGACUCGAUGAUGCAAUGGCAUAAAGCUAUUGCAGUAUCGCAGGGAAGCCGUUAAGUCUGCCGCCUGGGAAGUACGUACGCAAGUAUGAAACUUAAAGGAAUUGGCGGGGGAGCACCACAAGGGGUGAAGCCUGCGGUUCAAUUGGACUCAACGCCGGAA
rnacentral:rRNA from 1 species